rnacentral:rRNA from 1 species
CUACGGGCUGCUGCAGUGGGGAAUAUUGCACAAUGGAGGAAACUCUGAUGCAGCAACGCCGCGUGGAGGAUGACACUUUUCGGAGCGUAAACUCCUUUUAUAUAGGAAGAAGAUGACGGUACUAUAUGAAUAAGCGCCGGCUAACUCCGUGCCAGCAGCCGCGGUAAUACGGAGGGCGCAAGCGUUACUCGGAAUCACUGGGCGUAAAGAGCGUGUAGGCGGAUUAAAAAGUCAGAAGUGAAAUCCUAUAGCUUAACUAUAGAACUGCUUCUGAAACUCUUAAUCUAGAAUGUGGGAGAGGUAGAUGGAAUUUCUGGUGUAGGGGUAAAAUACGUAGAGAUCAGAAGGAAUACCGAUUGCGAAGGCGAUCUACUAGAACAUUAUUGACGCUGAGACGCGAAAGCGUGGGGAGCAAACAGGAUUAGAUACCCGCGUAGUC